rnacentral:rRNA from 1 species
UAAUACGAGGGGGGCGAGCGUUGUCCGGAUUUAUUGGGUGUAAAGGGCCCGUAGGCGGACCGAUCAGUCGGUACUUAAAUCCCCCGGCUUAACCGGGGCACUGGUUUCGAAACUGUCGGUCUUGAGUGCGGUAGAGGGAAGCGGAAUUCCUGGUGUAGCGGUGAAAUGCGUAGAUAUCAGGAGGAACACCGAGGGCGAAGGCAGCUUCCUGGGCCGCCACUGACGCUGAGGGGCGAAAGCGUGGGUAGCAAACAGGAUUAGAUACCCUGGUAGUCCACGCCGUAAACGAUGAGUACUUGGUGGUGAGGGAUUCGACCCCCCACUGUCGGAGCUAACGCGUUAAGUACUCCACCUGGGGACUACGACCGCAAGGUUG